rnacentral:rRNA from 1 species
AACGAACGCUGGCGGUAUGCCUAACCCAUGCAAGUCGAACGGACUGAUGAGAGCUUGCUCUUGUCAGUUAGUGGCAAACGGGUGAGUAACGCGUGGGAAUCUACCCAUCAGUACGGAAUAACUUUUGGACACAGAAGCUAAUACCGUAUAUUCUCUACGGAGGAAAGAUUUAUCGCCGAUGGAUGAGCCCGCGUCUGAUUAGGUAGGUGGUGGGGUACUGGCCUACCAAGCCGACGAUAACUAACUGGUCUGAGAGGAUGAUCAGCCACACUGGAACUUGGACCCGGUCCAGGCUCCUACGGGGGGCAGCAGGGGGGAAUAUUGGACAAUGGGCGAUAGCCUGAUCCAGCAAUACCGCGUGAAUGAUGAAGGCCUUAGGGUUGUAAAGUUCUUUUAGCAGGGAAGAUAAUAACGGUACCUGCAGAAAAAGCCCCGGCUAACUUCGUGCCAGCCGCCGCCGUAA